GAUGAACGCUGGCGGCGUGCCUAAUACAUGCAAGUCGAGCGAACAGACGAGGAGCUUGCUCCUCUGACGUUAGCGGCGGACGGGUGAGUAACACGUGGAUAACCUACCUAUAAGACUGGGAUAACUUCGGGAAACCGGAGCUAAUACCGGAUAAUAUAUUGAACCGCAUGGUUCAAUAGUGAAAGACGGUUUUGCUGUCACUUAUAGAUGGAUCCGCGCCGCAUUAGCUAGUUGGUAAGGUAACGGCUUACCAAGGCAACGAUGCGUAGCCGACCUGAGAGGGUGAUCGGCCACACUGGAACUGAGACACGGUCCAGACUCCUACGGGAGGCAGCAGUAGGGAAUCUUCCGCAAUGGGCGAAAGCCUGACGGAGCAACGCCGCGUGAGUGAUGAAGGUCUUCGGAUCGUAAAACACUGUUAUUGGGGAAGAACAAAUGUGUAAGUAUCUAUGCACGUCUUGACGGUACCUAAUCAGAAAGCCACGGCUAACUGCGUG
rnacentral:rRNA from 1 species